UACGUAGGGUGCAAGCGUUGUCCGGAAUUCUUGGGCGUAAAGAGCUCGUAGGCGGUCUGUCGCGUCGGAUGUGAAAACCCAGGGCUCAACCCUGGGCCUGCAUUCGAUACGGGCAGACUAGAGUUCGGUAGGGGAGACUGGAAUUCCUGGUGUAGCGGUGAAAUGCGCAGAUAUCAGGAGGAACACCGGUGGCGAAGGCGGGUCUCUGGACAGUUCCUGACGCUGAGGCACGAAGGUCAGGGGAGCAAACGGG
rnacentral:rRNA from 1 species